GAUGAAGAACGUAGCGAAAUGCGAUAAGUAAUGUGAAUUGCAGAAUUCAGUGAAUCAUCGAAUCUUUGAACGCACAUUGCGCCCCCCAGUAUUCUGGCGGGCAUGCCUGUUCGAGCGUCAUUUCAACCAUCAAGCCCUGCUUGUGUUGGGGUCCUGCGGCUGCCCGCAGGCCCUGAAAACCAGUGGCGGGCUCGCUAGUCACACCGAGCGCAGUAGCACAUCUCGCUCAGGGCGUGCGGCGGGCUCCAGCCGUUAAAGCACCCACCUUUCGCAAGGUUGACCUCGGAUCAGGUAGGAAUACCCGCUGAACCUAAGCAUAUCAAUAAGCGGAGGA
rnacentral:misc_RNA from 1 species